rnacentral:rRNA from 1 species
UACGAAGGGGCUAGCGUUGCUCGGAAUUACUGGGCGUAAAGCGCGCGUAGGCGGCCUUGUAAGUCCGUUGUGAAAGUCAAAGGCUCAACCUUUGAAAGCCGAUGGAUACUGUGAGGCUAGAGUCCGGAAGAGGCGAGUGGAAUUCCUGGUGUAGCGGUGGAAUGCGCAGAUAUCAGGAGGAACACCAAUAGCGAAGGCAGCUCGCUGGGACGGUACUGACGCUAAGGCGGCGAAAGCGUGGGGAGCGAACGAGG